UGGUGGAGUGAUUUGUCUGGUUAAUUCCGAUAACGAACGAGACCUUAACCUGCUAACUAGAUGGGUGUGUUAUGACACAUUCAGGCUUCUUAGAGGGACUGUGUGGUAAAACCUCAAGGAAGUUUAAGGCAAUAACA
rnacentral:rRNA from 1 species